UAAAAGUGAACACGAGGAAGAGAAACAACACGGAAGAUAAACAAGUAAUAAAGACGAACAGAACUGAGCGCCCUCUCCAGAGCAUAUCUUUGAUGCUUGAUCGGCUAAUGGAUCAUCUGGACUCUCAGGGACAGAAAACACUGGGACAAAGCUUGCCCCAAAUCUGAACACCUCCUCUGGAUUGCUGUGGUUCUGCACGAAUUGGCCGUCGCUGAGAACGAGGUCGUCUUUGGC